rnacentral:rRNA from 1 species
UACAGAGGUCUCAAGCGUUGUUCGGAUUCAUUGGGCGUAAAGGGUGCGUAGGCGGCGUCGUAAGUCGGGUGUGAAAUCUCGGGGCUUAACUCCGAAAUUGCAUUCGAUACUGCGGUGCUUGAGGACUGGAGAGGAGACUGGAAUUCACGGUGUAGCAGUGAAAUGCGUAGAUAUCGUGAGGAAGACCGGUGGCGAAGGCGGGUCUCUGGACAGUUCCUGACGCUGAGGCACGAAGGCCAGGGGAGCAAACGGG